UACGUAGGGGGGCAAGCGUUGUCCGGAAUCAUUGGGCGUAAAGCGCGCGUAGGCGGCCCGGUAAGUCCGCUGUAAAAGUCCAGGGCUCAACCCUGGAAAGCCGGUGGAUACUGUCGGGCUAGAGUCCGGAAGAGGCGAGUGGAAUUCCUGGUGUAGCGGUGAAAUGCGCAGAUAUCAGGAAGAACACCCGUGGCGAAAGCGGCUCUCUGGAACGGUACUGACGCUGAGACGCGAAAGCGUGGGGAGCGAACAGG
rnacentral:rRNA from 1 species